CCUCGGCCUUUGUCGAGACAACAGUGUUUCAAGACACAUUCCCUGCUCUGGAACCCUCCUUUCUGAGGAGCUGUUGCAGUAAGAGACGCUGGUGACUCCAGAAGCCCACACCUGCGCUUCCAGGUGCGUCUCGCUUCCUUCUGAGGGCCUCUUUCUUCAGUUCCAUGCUCAGACCUACAUUAAAUUAUUUUUAUUGGGGCUGGAGAGAAGCUCAGUGGUUAAGAGCACUGGCUGCUCUUGCAAAGGCCUGGGUUCAGUUCCCAGCACUCACAAGGAGGCUCACGACCAUCUGUAAUACUGGUUCCAGGGGAUCCAACACUUCUGGCCUCCAAAAGCACCAGGCAUGCAUGGGGUGCACACACAUACAUGCAGACUCAUACACACUUUUUUAAAAUCUAAAAACAAUGCUUAUUAAGCCCCAAUUCUACUUCAUUGGAAAAAGAAAUACACUGGUAGCAAUGGCUACCCAUGGGGAGAGUCAUUUCAGGAGACUUUCACUACGUUCUGUACCUUUCUAUGCUUUUUCAGUUUGGAGCCUUACGACAAUAUUACCUAUUUUACCAGAGAUUAACUACAUUAAAAAUAAAAAUCUACCCUGUGUUUA